GAUCGGCCUUUGAGCGCAGUGCCCGGCCCUGGCGAGCCAAGUCCGAUCUCCCGGCCCGCAGCGAGGGAGCGCGAAGGUCGGCCUUCAGUUCUGCAGAUGGGAGGCAGCAAGGAAAUAGGGACCUCAGUCCUCCAGUCACAAAAAAGGGCCCGAAUUCUGCCAACAACCCAAAUGAACGUGGAAGAGGAUCCUGAGCUUCAGCACCUAACACCUUAACUUCAGCCUGUGAGGCCCUCAGCAGAAAACCCAGCUACACCGGGCCCAGAUUUAAGACGAGCACAACUGUGAGCUGGAAGUCAAAGAAGUGUCUUUCACAUACACACAAUUGCAUACACACAAGCAUCUAUGAUGGAGUCAGAGACUGAAGAUCUUGAAACAUGGAGGUCUGCAGUCCCUGUUGUUUCUAUUAAUGGAAACAUGGUUCUAUUUUAAGCCAAACUGAUAUUCUGAUUGUAGAAUUGCAGCAAGUACUCAGAAGGCCUUGCAAACAAAAGAGUAAACACAUGGAGAACUGGUCCCUCUGCCAGAUUCAGCGAACACCAUUUUUAUAUCCUAAUUGCCGGGAAUGGGGACAGCUGCAUCAUUGUUUAAAACACACACUCAUGCACAAUUAAGCCAAGAAUAAAUGUCAACACUGGCACAAUCUGCCAAAUAACUGAUAACUGAUGAGCAUUACUCAUGCUGUGAGCAUUGUCUCCAAUAGAAAAUGGAAAGAUGCCUAUUUUGAAAAGAUCUUAGAGGUUUCUACUGGUUUAAGAAAGCUGGGUUUACCGAGGGGGAAAGGGGGGUGGUGGGAUGAAUUGGGAGAUGGGGAUUGACAUAUAUAUACUAUUGAUACGAUGUAUAAAAUAGAUACUAAUGAGAACCUACUGUAUAGCUCAGGGAACUCUACUCCGUGCUCUGCGGUGACCUAAAUGAGAAGGGAAUCCAAAAAAGGGGGGAUAUAUGUAUAUGUAUAGCUGAUUCACUUUUCUGUACAGUAGAAACUAACACAGCAUUGUAAAGCAACUAUACUCCAAUAAAAAGAAUUUUUUAAAUA